rnacentral:rRNA from 1 species
UACGAAGGGGGCUAGCGUUGUUCGGAAUCACUGGGCGUAAAGCGCACGUAGGCGGAUCUUUAAGUCAGGGGUGAAAUCCCGAGGCUCAACCUCGGAACUGCCUUUGAUACUGGGGAUCUCGAGUCCGGGAGAGGUGAGUGGAACUGCGAGUGUAGAGGUGAAAUUCGUAGAUAUUCGGCAAGAACACCAGUGGCGAAGGCGGCUCACUGGCCGGUACUGACGCUGAGGUGCGAAAGCGUGGGGAGCAAACAGG